AUUGAACGCUGGCGGCAUGCCUAACACAUGCAAGUCGAACGGCAGCACGGUCCAGUUUACUGGAUGGGUGGCGAGUGGCGGACGGGUGAGUAACGCGUAGGAAUAUGCCUUAAAGAGGGGGAUAACUUGGGGAAACUCAAGCUAAUACCGCAUAAUCUCUUAGGAGAAAAGCUGGGGACCUUUGGGCCUGGCGCUUUAAGAUUAGCCUGCGUACGAUUAGCUAGUUGGUGGGGUAAGGGCCUACCAAGGCGACGAUCGUUAGCUGGUCUGAGAGGAUGGCCAGCCACACUGGAACUGAGACACGGUCCAGACUCCUACGGGAGGCAGCAGUGGGGAAUAUUGGACAAUGGGGGGAACCCUGAUCCAGCAAUGCCGCGUGUGUGAAGAAGGCCUGAGGGUUGUAAAGCACUUUCAGUGGGGAGGAGGAUUGACAGGUUAAGAGCUAGUUAAUUGGACGUUACCCACAGAAGAAGCACCGGCUAACUCCGUGCCAGCAGCCGCGGUAA
rnacentral:rRNA from 1 species